GGAAUAUUGGACAAUGGGUGAGAGCCUGAUCCAGCCAUCCCGCGUGAAGGAUGACGGUCCUAUGGAUUGUAAACUUCUUUUGUAUAGGAAUAAACCUUUCUACGUGUAGAAAGCUGAAGGUACUAUACGAAUAAGCACCGGCUAACUCCGUGCCAGCAGCCGCGGUAAUACGGAGGGUGCAAGCGUUAUCCGGAUUUAUUGGGUUUAAAGGGUCCGUAGGCGGACCGAUAAGUCAGUGGUGAAAUCUCAUAGCUUAACUAUGAAACUGCCAUUGAUACUGUCGGUCUUGAGUAAAUUAGAGGUAGCUGGAAUAAGUAGUGUAGCGGUGAAAUGCAUAGAUAUUACUUAGAACACCAAUUGCGAAGGCAGGUUACCAUGAUUUAACUGACGCUGAGGGACGAAAGCGUGGGUAGCGAACAGGAUUAGAUACCCGAG
rnacentral:rRNA from 1 species